UUUUUUUUUUUUUUUAAUAUUAUAUGUAAUUUAUUAUAUGUAAGUACACUGUGGCUGUCUUCAGACACUCCAGAAGAGGGCAUCAGAUCUUGUUAUCGAUGGUUGUGAGCCACCAUAUGUUUGCUGGGAUUUGAACUCAGGACCUUUGGAAGAGCAGUCAGUGCUUGAGCCAUCUCUCCAGUCCCCAGUUGAUUACUUCGUAAUCCUUUUUCUGACUCCCCCUGCACUGGGGUUACUGGGCCUGAGUUUCCCCCCAGUGCCACGGAGGUAAGCCCUGACAGCACUCAUAGCUCACCUGUUGUGUACCAGGUAACUUUAUAGACCCUUGGGAUGCAGCAGUGGACAGGGCGGAACUGGGACCUCUGGGGAUGAAAGACCAGGAGAAUUGCAGUACCAACCAACAUGCCCAGACAGGAAGUCCCAAGAACUCUAUUGAGGCUCACAUCUUUACCCCAGUUUAUGAGUUAUGGUGGACUCAUAACCAAUCUCAGUUCUCAAGACCUCAAUUUCUUUUGAUUGCAAAAUAUAACCUUAUUGGAGAAAUGUUUAGCUAGGCAUGGUAGUUCAUACCUAUAAUCCUAACGUAAGAAACUGAAAUAAAAGGAUUGGCAGCUUUGAGACUAGCUUAAUCUGUGUAGUACGUUAAGUUACAUAGUGAGUUCUCAUUCUCCCCAAAAUGAAAAAAAAGCAGGUGUAGUUGUUCAUAUCUGUAAUCUUAGCACUCAGGAGAGUAACUAGUUUAAAGCUAUCUUGCCCUGUAGUGUAAGACUACC
rnacentral:lncRNA from 1 species